rnacentral:rRNA from 1 species
GUCUUCGCCGCCGCGCACCGGCUCCACCAUGGCCCGCUCCUCGUCGACUCAGGAUGCUUUCCAGAAGAAGAGCCCGGCGGAGGCCGCGACAUGCGGCUCAUGGACAUGGAUGGCAACGUCCUCAGAGUCAUCAAGGGCGUCGGCGGCUACUGGAUGAUGUGCACCACGAGCGUCGACGACCUCAUCUGCGUCAACGGCGCCUGCUGCGACGGCGUCCAGGUGAUCGAUCCGGCCACCGGGGAGGUGCUCGUGACAUGCCCACAGGUGGACGUGGUAGAGCACAACGCGUUUCCCUACGCAGCAACGCACUACUACAGCAUCUUGGGUGCCGCCCCGUCCGGUGAAUACAAGCUGGUUCGCUACGUCGCCACGGACUGA